CAGAUUUGAUUUAUGCCCUAUGCAUAAGGUUGUUUCAGAUCCUGUGAAGCUGGGGAAAGCUGUCGUAAGUUAGGCUCCCGAUAUGGACCCAAACGAGUAAGAAGUCGAACUGGUGUGACAGUCGGCAGGAACGUGAGACGGCUGAACUUGAUUGACUGGUCCUUGCUGCCUCCAUCAUCAGGGCGAUGAGUCAACUCUUACCAGAAGACAGCUAUCUUCGGACACAACACCGUGAAAACCUCAAACCCUAAACUCUGACUGGUGUUGUCGAGGUGUUAAGACACGCAUUAACCCAGAUCCCAGCCGGUCUCCACUCGACUUUAACACAUGCAGUUGUAAAGUGCUGGAGAAUCUUGUCGCCGCUCUGUCCGGGGUGUGACAUCGCCGAGACGCCGGGGAUGCCUCCCCCCAUCGUACGUGACUUGCAACUACAACCACCGGCUUAAUAAUCCUCAUUGUGGCGGGCGGGCAGCGACCAGGUUCCAAUAUCGUAUUGUUUAGAGUAGCUGGCUCUCAAUCUGCAGAAAAUGCGCUACACCCUCAAGUCAAGCGGAGGAUUUCCAAUCAAGAACCGCUGUACACACCGCUCCAAUAUGCCACAGUUAAGUCUUGAAAUUCGUUGGCUACGUGUUGGACUACCCAGGUUCGAUUCCGGCCAGUGAAAAUUAUUUUUUCCUUAUAAAUCACUGAAUGAAAAAGGCUGUUAAUCAUAUUUAGCCUCAUACACAAUGGGUACGACGGGGGGUGGGGGGCUCCUUACCCGGGAUGAAGUGGCCAUCGGGUGAAAUUAACCAGUGACCACCAUCUAAUGCCAAGGAUAAAAAUGCGUGAAGUAAUUUGGGUCUGUACCCCCAUACACCUCCACAGCAUUUUGAUUUAAUGACAUCAAGUGCAUAUAACAAAUGUAUAAUGGGGACACUGUGUGUCCGUCCGUGUGUUUCAUCUCCGAAAUACGCAAUGGAUAUCGAAAGUGUUUCAAAUGAAAGUUGUAUAUAAUUAUGAGAUACACGUUUUGUAUUACGUACAAUUAUUAUGUGCAACAAGAUUGAUAAUUUUAAAUUAGAACUUAAAUUUAACUGAUACUAAUCAACAUUAAAUUCGGUCUACAUAUUCAACACACACAGAACGACUCAGGUGUUUCAGAGAUACAACAUAAAACAGGCACAACAUAUCAAUUAGGCCUACGCGUUCGUUUUAUAUACUUUGUGUAAAGCCAAAGAAAACUAAUAAACAAUUCCAUUGACCAGUGUCCUUCUUGGGAAGCUAAAAGUCGCUCAUUUAGUCUAAACACUUCCAAUUCUCCGUUCAUCCUGAAAAUCAUACGAAACACAUAGAUGCAGUCUGUUAGUAAAAUACAGAGUUACUGUAUCGUAAA